rnacentral:lncRNA from 1 species
UUUUUUUUAACCAGGAAUGGAGCCCAGGCCAGUCUACCAUUGUAAUACAUCCCCAGUCUUGAUUUGUUUUGGUUUUGUUUUGGUUUGUUUUUUUGACAGUGUUUUGCUAAGUUGCUGAGGCUCGUGUUGAAACCGAAUCCUCCUGAAUCAGCCUCCUGAGUCUUGGAUUAUAGCUGUGUACCACUGUGCCCAGCUACUAUGUUUCUUGUGGUGUCUGUAAGGAAGCCAUCUAUACAGAUGUAGCGAGUAUUUUAUCUUAAGGAAAAGUGUAAUAAAACACAACUAGAGAGAUUUAACAUGCUCAAAUAUACCAGAUCAUGUGAGAAUAUAGGCAAAGCAAGUUCAGUUUCUCCUUGUAUAUGCUCCGCACCCAGAAAGCUUCUGUGAUCCCAGAUGAGAGGGUUUUUGUCCGCAACCAGGCGAGCAGUUCUUCAGAGGGCACCUUGUCAUUUCACCUAAUCCUGACACUGUCUGUGUAGACACUCGAUGGAUCCAAGAGCUGAGGUCUCUGUCCCACAAGAGUGCCCGCUUUUCAGAUAUCAGUCUUAGGCAAAAGUGUGGCCCAUGAUUCAGAAUGACCAUCUGUAAAUGGGCCGUCCUUCAUCCCCUCCUCACAUUGAAAAAGUGGUCAGAGUGCUUUGUAAAUCUGAGAAGGACUUGACUUGCAUUUGCCUUGUGGUAACGCCUGUUCAGAAGAGACAGGUGAACACGCGGAUGGAAGAGGUGCAUAGCCAAGGUGUGGGGCAAAGGACGUGGAGCUCACAUGACUUUGUGUGCUGCGCCACCGUCUAGGACCCUCCACCCACGCGUUGACCUGAACACCCUUUCACCCCGUCCUGUUGAGUUUUUAUGGAGGCUCCAUUAUGU